rnacentral:pre_miRNA from 1 species
UUUGAGGGGAAUGUUGUCUGGCUCGAGGCCAUCAUCGAUCGUUUCUUUCGCAGAUCCAUGUGAAGGUCUCGGACCAGGCUUCAUUCCCCCCAGU